CUGGCUGAAUGACUGGACUCUGGAUUCCAGAAGCUACAUUGAAGCAGUAGGUAUCCAUUCAGCAAUGAACAUGUGGCCUGAUACUACAGGUUGGACCCACACCCAUGGAAAGACAGGAAUAAAUAACCCACAUUACUUUUGAUGGCCAUUCCGAUGAUUGCAACCAAAAGAAUGAAGAUCACUCCACACAGGACCCAGAUGAUUUUGGAGUUACCUGCAUAUGUAUUUUGUGGAGGUUAACAAAGAGGCCGUCUCAAUUGCAAAGAAAGCAGUCCACAUCGCCACUACAGCAGAAACAGGAAAACAGAUGAAGAGAAAGAGAGAAGGAAGUUGAAGAACGGAUGUGUUUUUUGAUUUGUUGAGAGCAACCACACCAGAAUAAUUUUCUGAAGUGAAAUACAUUGUUAAACAUACCUUCAUGUAAUUUAAAAUAAAACAUAUGAGGGGACACACAAGUGGCUAGCACACCAACUCACUCACAAAACACUUAAAGUUCUACAAAGCUCUAGUCCUAGCCUAUGAUGCAGCACAAGGAAUAAAGUGUCCAACUUGCAUUCUGUUAUCAUAACUUACACUCCCGCUUGACUACUCCACUCUGCAUUUGUUGGUUACCUUCUCUUCCCAGUCAGAGGAGGACCUUUGCAGACUGAAAACCCACCUGUUAAAAUUGCAUCUUGGCUCACCGAGCACACUAUUCAAACUUGGCAGAUUUCUACAACUCCAACUCCAAACCUUAUUAUCAUUGCUGUGCUUUUCUUAUGUUUUUGCCUUUUUGUUUGUAUUUUUCCUGUUAAGCACUUUGAGCUGCAGUCUGUAUGAAAGGUGCUAUGCAAAUAAAGCUAUUAUUAUUAUUAUUAUUAUUAUUAUUAUUAUUAUUAUUAUUAUUAUUAUUAAAGGGAUAGUUCCCUUUUGGAUUGUUUUUUAUAUUACUUUUAGUGUAUGUUCUCAAUUGGCCUGGAUACUUCUUUCGUGCAAUGACGGAUAUUUUCACAGUCAAUACACAAUAUAGCUGUAUAUUAGCAUGAUGUAUUGAUACUGCACAAAAAAUGACUGUUAAGUGUUUGACAGAUGUCAAGUUUAAAUAUAACACAAAUACUUGAAUACUAUGAUUUUCCUUUUU